AAAUCUGACCCUAUUUUCCCUCUGUCUUUGCCACUCACUCACUCCUGCUCCCCCUCCAUCUUCCCCCACCCUCCCUCCUGCCGCCCCAGUCAUGGCAGGACCACAGCUAUAGCCUCUGUAUAUUCCUUCCAGGACUCUAACAGCUUUAAUGGGAACAGUGCUGGGGAUGGCAGCUUCAACAACAAUGGGAAUGGCUUCGAGCCCCCAGUCAUCUAUGAUCCUGUGGGUGAUGCAGGGAACCAUGGCAGCUUCGACUGGAAUAGGGUUGGUGACCGCAGCUUCAAUGACAAUGGGGUAAGAAUUGAGGUCCUCCCUGGGAUAACUAAGGAGGGAUUUGGGGGAGGUAACCCACAAUGUAUUCAGUUUCUCCUUUGCUUAGGGUAA
rnacentral:lncRNA from 1 species